GCCAGACGUGGUGGCGCAUGUCUGUAAUCCCAGCUACUUGGGAGGCUGAGGCCUGAGAAUUGCUUGAGCCUAGGAGUUCGAGGCUGCAGUGAGCUCUCGUGGGACCACUGCACUUCAGCCUGGGCAACAGAGUGAGACCCCAUCUCAA
ensembl:misc_RNA Metazoa_SRP Metazoan signal recognition particle RNA